rnacentral:rRNA from 1 species
GGUUAAGCGACUAAGCGUACACGGUGGAUGCCCUGGCAGUCAGAGGCGAUGAAGGACGUGCUAAUCUGCGAAAAGCGUCGGUAAGGUGAUAUGAACCGUUAUAACCGGCGAUGUCCGAAUGGGGAAACCCAGUGUGAUUCGUCACACUAUCGUUAACUGAAUACAUAGGUUAACGAGGCGAACCGGGGGAACUGAAACAUCUAAGUACCCCGAGGAAAAGAAAUCAACCGAGAUUCCCCCAGUAGCGGCGAGCGAACGGGGAGCAGCCCAGAGUCUGAAUCAGCUUGUGUGUUAGUGGAACGGUCUGGAAAGUCCGACGGUACAGGGUGAUAGUCCCGUACACCAAAAUGCACAGGCUGUGAACUCGAAGAGUAGGGCGGGACACGUGGUAUCCUGUCUGAAUAUGGGGGGACCAUCCUCCAAGGCUAAAUACUCCUGACUGACCGAUAGUGAACCAGUACCGUGAGGGAAAGGCGAAAAGAACCCCGGCGAGGGGAGUGAAAAAGAACCUGAAACCGUGUACGUACAAGCAGUGGGAGCACCUUCGGGUGUGACUGCGUACCUUUUGUAUAAUGGGUCAGCGACUUAUAUUCUGUAGCAAGGUUAACCGUAUAGGGGAGCCGCAGGGAAACCGAGUCUUAACUGGGCGUUAAGUUGCAGGGUAUAGACCCGAAACCCGGUGAUCUAGCCAUGGGCAGGUUGAAGGUUGGGUAACACUAACUGGAGGACCGAACCGACUAAUGUUGAAAAAUUAGCGGAUGACUUGUGGCUGGGGGUGAAA